GGAGAGACAGCUCCACUAACACAUGAGAAGCAGUUGAGAGCAGCAGGAGUGUAACCAUGGAGACACACAGGCUCCCACCAUGCUUUGCAGCAAAGGGACCCUGAAUGCACCAUGAAGAGAGGUGGGGACACACAGGACAUGCCCACUCAUGCUGUGAAAGAGUGUAAAAUAGUUCUUCAAAUUAAAAUAUUGACCAGUAAAAUCUCACCUAAAUUAUACAUUAAAGGAUAGUUCAUGGUUUGUUUUUUUUAAAUAAUGUGUAGUUAUGCAGAUAGGCACUAAGUGAAAACAUGGCUGCCAGCA